rnacentral:tRNA from 1 species
UCCCUAGUGGCUCAGCUGGUAAAGAAUCCGUCUGCAAUGUGGGAGACCUGGGUUCGACCCCUGGCUUGGGAA